rnacentral:sRNA from 1 species
AUUCUGACCAUGCGGGGAAGGAUGAGAAGCUUCGAUUAAGGUUCGAUUCGAGCGUAGCGAGAAAGCGUUGCCGCAGGCAACGACCCGAAGGGCGAGGCGCAACGCGCCGAGUAAUCCUUCCCCCACCACCA